GUACAGAGGAGACAGGUGCUGGAAAACAUGAAGGAAAAAAACGCCAUGCCAAAAUGACUGAGAGGCCUUGUUUCAUGUGCGGCUUUGCUAUGGGAAUGAAUGAAUGGCAGAGUCUAUUUACGAUUAGUCCCUGCCGACCUCUGUUUAUCUGCGUCCCCCAAGAAGAUACUACUGAACUACAGAACUCAGUGGUUGUGUCCCAAAUGAAACCCUAUUCCUUAUAUAGUACACCAGAGAUAUGUAGCGCCACGUAGGGAAUCAGGGGCCAUUUAGAACGCAUCCUGCAUGAAAAUAGAUGGAGGCCCUCUCCUUUCUUGAUUCAUGCUAUUCUCAGUAUUCAAGCAACAUGUGGUGAGUGACAACCCCAAUAGAGUGAGGGACUAUAAAGAGUGUUGUCUCUACAUCCAUGCUGCUGGCAGUGAUGAAUCCUUUUACAUUCUAAACAGCUCUUCAAUCAAAUUGGUGCCUUUUUGAAACACACCGUUCGGAGUCUGUGACAGGUCUCCCCUUAAAAUGAAGACUGAUUUCAAUAUGAAAGUAGGAUUUUGACAUGAUAAGCGCGUGAGAGACCUUGAAUUGGUCACACAUGUUUGUUAAUUUCCAAUAUUCUCCUGUUCCCGCUUACAUCUCGUAAUGGCACCCUUUACAUCUCUUAAUGGCACCCUUUACCCCAGGUUACAUUUCUUAAUGGCACCCUUUACCCAAGGUCACAUCUUGAAAUGGCACCCUUUACCCCAGGUUACAUGUCUUAAUGGCACCCUUUACCCCAGGUUACAUGUCUUAAUGGCACCCUUUACCCCAGGUUACAUCUCUUAAUGACACCCUUUACCCCAGGUUACAUCUCGUAAUGGCACCCUUUACCCCAGGUUAUAUCUCUUAAUGGCACCCUUUACCCCAGGUUACAUCUCUUAAUGGCAUCCUUUACAUUUCUUAAUGGCACCGUUUACCCCAGGUUACAUCUCUUAAUGGCACCCUUUACCCCAGGUUACAUCUCUUAAUGGCACCCUUUACCCCAGGUUACAUCUCUUAAUGGCACCCUUUACCCCCAGGUUACAACUCUUAAUGGCACCCUUUACCCCAGGUUAUAUCUCUUACUGACACCCUUUACCCCAGGUUACACCUCUUAAUGGCAUCCUUUACAUUUCUUAAUGGCACCCUUUACCCCAGGUUACAUCUCUUACUGACACCCUUUACCCCAGGUUACACCUCUUAAUGGCACCCUUUACCCCCAGGUUACACCUCUUAAUGGCACCCUUU
ensembl:lncRNA